GAUGAACGCUGGCGGCGUGCCUAAUACAUGCAAGUCGAACGGGGAGUAUUUACUUCGGGUUUUUACUUCUAGUGGCGAACGGGUGAGUAACGCGUUGGUGACCUGCCCCGAAGAGGGGGACAACCCCGCGAAAGCAGGGCUAAUACCCCAUGUGGUCUCCAGGAUUAGAAGCCUGGUGACUAAAGGAGCAAUCCACUUCGGGAGGGGCCUGCGUCCCAUCAGCUAGUUGGUAAGGUAAUGGCUUACCAAGGCGACGAUCGGUAGCUGGUCUGAGAGGAUGAUCAGCCACACUGGUACUUAGACACGGACCAGACUCCUACGGGAGGCAGCAGUGGGGAAUAUUGCGCAAUGGGCGAAAGCCUGACGCAGCAACGCCGCGUGGGUGAUGAAGGCCUUAGGGUCGUAAAGCCUUGUCAGAUGGGAAGAAACCUACUUAGUAGCUGACGGUACCAUCAAAGGAAGCACCGGCUAACUCCGUG
rnacentral:rRNA from 1 species